rnacentral:tRNA from 1 species
GGAGGGGUGCCCGAGCGGUUCAAGGGAGCGGUCUUGAAAACCGUCGGACGAUGAGUCCCGUGGGUUCGAAUCCCACCCCCUCCGCCA